rnacentral:rRNA from 1 species
AGAGUUUGAUCCUGGCUCAGAAUCAACGCUGGCGGCGUGCCUCAGACAUGCAAGUCGAACGAUUAAAGCUCUCUUCGGAGAGUGCAUAGAGUGGCGCACGGGUGAGUAACACGUAAGUAAUCUACCCUCGAGUGGGGAAUAACGUCCGGAAACGGGCGCUAAUACCGCAUAAUGCAGCGGCAUCAUAAGAUGACAGUUGUUAAAGAUUUAUCGCUUGAGGAGGAGCUUGCGGCAGAUUAGCUAGUUGGUAAGGUAACGGCUUACCAAGGCUACGAUCUGUAACCGGUCUUAGAGGACGGUCGGUCACACUGACACUGAAUAACGGGUCAGACUCCUACGGGAGGCAGCAGUCGGGAAUUUUGGGCAAUGGGCGAAAGCCUGACCCAGCAACGCCGCGUGAAGGAUGAAGUAUUUCGGUAUGUAAACUUCGAAAGAAUAGGAAGAAUUAAUGACGGUACUAUUUAUAAGGUCCGGCUAACUACGUGCCAGCAGCCGCGGUAAUACGUAGGGACCAAGCGUUGUUCGGAUUUACUGGGCGUAAAGGGCGCGUAGGCGGCAUGACAAGUCACUUGUGAAAUCUCCGGGCUUAACUCGGAACGGCCAAGUGAUACUGUCACGCUAGAGUAUUGGAGGGGCAAUCGGAAUUCUUGGUGUAGCGGUGAAAUGCGUAGAUAUCAAGAGGAACACCUGAGGUGAAGACGGGUUGCUGGCCAAAUACUGACGCUGAGGCGCGAAAGCCAGGGGAGCAAACGGGAUUAGAUACCCCGGUAGUCCUGGCCCUAAACGAUGAAUACUUGGUGUCUGGAGUUCUUAAACUCUGGGUGCCGUCGCUAACGUUUUAAGUAUUCCGCCUGGGGAGUACGCUCGCAAGAGUGAAACUCAAAGGAAUUGACGG